ACUCCUACGGGAGGCAGCAGUGGGGAAUAUUGGACAAUGGGCGCAAGCCUGAUCCAGCCAUGCCGCGUGAGUGAUGAAGGCCCUAGGGUUGUAAAGCUCUUUCACCGGUGAAGAUAAUGACGGUAACCGGAGAAGAAGCCCCGGCUAACUUCGUGCCAGCAGCCGCGGUAAUACGAAGGGGGCUAGCGUUGUUCGGAUUUACUGGGCGUAAAGCGCACGUAGGCGGACUAUUAAGUCAGGGGUGAAAUCCCGGGGCUCAACCCCGGAACUGCCUUUGAUACUGGUAGUCUUGAGUUCGAGAGAGGUGAGUGGAAUUCCGAGUGUAGAGGUGAAAUUCGUAGAUAUUCGGAGGAACACCAGUGGCGAAGGCGGCUCACUGGCUCGAUACUGACGCUGAGGUGCGAAAGCGUGGGGAGCAAACAGGAUUAGAAACCCUUGUAGUCCCA
rnacentral:rRNA from 1 species